rnacentral:lncRNA from 1 species
AGACAAUGGGAAGGUAAUUGUUGCUGAGUACAUUCUUCCGGUAGCUCCGGACGGUAGCCUUGCCACCAAGGAAGUUGUCCAUAGCGACGCGAUCAUGUUAGCUCACAACCCCGGCGGAAAAGAGAGGACGGAGAAGGAGUUCGAGGCCUUGGCUAAGGGAUCUGGAUUCCAAGGCUUUCGAGUCGUGUGCUCUGCUUUCAACACCUAUGCCAUUGAAUUUCUUAAGAAGAAUUGAGUAUAAUUUGCCCUUGGUAUGCUGCCAUCUGCAUUUAUAUUGCUUUGGUUUUUUAUAUGGUGAUCGUGUAUCCGUACGUGGACUUUACACAUAAGUAGGUUUUCAUAUGUUAGAAAAAAAUAAUAAGAAAGUGAUUUUGUUGCUUUGAUAACAUGUAGAAUUAUGACUCUUUGUAUUGUUAUGUGAAAAAUAUUACAAUAUACAUACAAGGUUACAUUAGUCCCUAUUGAAAUAGGAAUGUUACACUAAUUACAAUUAAAUAUUACAUUCCUAUAAUACAUGUGACAACUACGACGGACAAAUUACAUGUCUAUAUUGCCACAAACACAAAAUCAAAACCUCAUGGAUUUUCUUAUCACCUUAACUUACCCGUCAAUUGAUUUCGACAUACGACCUGUUUGGUGCCUAAAUCCGCCAUGGGCCUCGCGGGCAAGCCGGGGAUUUACUUCACAUACGAGAUUGAUAGGUGCGGGCGUGCCACUACUAGAUGCCGCUAGUAGACGGGAUUUGAAUGAUUGAGGUUGCGCCUUUUGACUUCAAAUCAAGAGAUUGUGCCAUUUGAGUGGGAGUUGCUCAAAUCAAGGUUCUUUCUUUGCCUUAAAAAUAAGGACUUUACUUAUAUGGAGAGAUAGAACAAUAUGUAAAUGAUAAGGUUGCUCGGAAAUGUAAAUGAUAGAGGAAAGUGACUAAUAUUGCAGAUUGCUUGUAAUUUAAAUGACUGAAAAUGAGUUGUACAUGAAAACUAUAAAGGAGAUCGAUACUACAAGUGAGCAGCAGAGCUAAUAAACUAGACAAAAGAUGGCUUUUGUACAUGAAAACUAUAAAGGAGAUCGAUACUACAAGUGAGCAGCACAACUAAUAAACUAGACAAAAGAUGGCUUUUGUGAGGGCUGAUCCUGAAAAUGAUGAAGGUUUGGGGGGCUGACUACAGCUUCGUGUGAAGGCAAAUCUAGUUUGAGCAGAGUUUGUGCUUGUAUUUGUUUGUUUGAUUGAGUGUCCAUAAUCCUUCUCCAUCUGCUUCUUUAUAUAGAGGUCUGGAAGAGCCCCCUUGUUGAGAUCUUUGUACUUGCCCGAAAGAAGCUUGGGCAGCUUGCAUUGCAUUUGCCAACUUGCAUGUAGAAACAAUAUUAAAAGGGAAACUUGCAUCUCCACCACAUGUUUUUAGCACAUGUCUCCCCACUUGUAAUAAACUAACAAUUAAAACAGAAGCAAAUUGCAUCUCCACCACAUGCCUUUUCCCACUUGCAAUAAAAUAAUUAAAAAAAGCAAACUAGCUUCUUUCACUACACAUUCUUGCCCGAAAGCAUGCAUGGUAUAUUUCCAUCCACUUGCAUGAAAAAGCAUGCACUUAUCUUGAUUAAACAACUCUCUUGACAAAGCUCCACCACCCAAACAAAUGGGAAAAACAAUAUUAUAGUGCCAAACCAUCCACUUGCAGCCAAAUAUCUUUCCAAGUUAGCUUUCUUGCAUAUUAAUCCUUCAAAUACCAUAUUUUACCCCAAUGGCCCAAAUAAGUAAAAAUGGGCACAUUUUGGGUGCAAACACGACCGCUCAUACACAAGAACUCUCCUAAAACAGAAAAAAUGGCAAGAAGGGAAUAAUAAAAUGACAUUCAUAUUAUUUUCAUGACGUACCUAUCAAAUUAUUAUCCAUGAUGUUCAUUCAAACUGGUAUUAUGUUAUAGGCUUUCCCGUUAUUCAUGUUGUCAUUAUAUUUGUUCAGCUUAGAACACAAUAAGAAACAAAAUUAAAAGCCAGUAAAAUCAUAAAAAAAAAAUAACCCAUUGACUAAUUGAGUAUAACACUAGCAAAAACGUCCGCGCUCCGCUGCAGGGAAUGACACAAAUAUAAUCUUAUACGAUCUAAUUGUUUUUGUUAUUCCUAGUUCUUUUUGGCAUUGUGUGCAAAAAAAACGGAAACUCCAAGCAAGAAAUUGAUAGCUGAGAAGAAACGAAUGACUACAAACAUUUUCAUUAAACAUUUCUAUUCCAUUUGCAAUGUCAGAAGUAUGAUCUUCUUGUAUCCCCUGAUUUCUUUUGCUAUUUCUAGUUCUUUUCCUCUCUGACUACGGUCCAAGAGACCCAGAAAACUGCAGCGAUGCAAAUUGCUACCGGAAUCAUGAAAAAUUAAAAUUAAUAAGACUCGUUCGAAUCAUAUUACAAUGCAUGCCAAACCACAACAUCUGAUAAUCCAUAAAUUAAACGAAAUUGAAAAUGAAGUUCAGCAGCUGGGACAAAAAUAAAAACACAAAAUACUAACUCAAGCGCCUGCACAUAUAAACACCACAUAAAAAUCACACAAAAAAACGAAAACAACAGCUGAGACACGCUUAUGUAAAAAUCCAACAUGCAUAGUUCUUUUAAUUCCAACACAGAAACAACAAAAAUUUCUGAAAAAAUACCCAUACGAAUUCAACUUAAAUCCCAAAAUCCAAUCCCCCAAAAAAACCAUAAUUUCAAAUACCACAAACAUGCAAAGGCCAAAUCAAAGCUGCAAGUCGUUUUAGAUUUUACCGAAUAAUAGGAACAAUUUAAUUCCCUAAUUAUGAGGGAAUAAUCCGAAAAUCUGGAAAAAUAAAGAGGUCUAAAACCCUCGGCCGAGAUCGACCUGGAAGAACACACAAGUCAGAUUGGGUCUCCACAAUAGAUAAAAACAGACAGAGAAUCUUCGUUUCUUGAAUUUCUGAGAGAAAAUUUAUGAUUUUUGAUAGGAUUUUUAUCACCUACAAAAGUAGGGAUAAAAACACUUAAAAAAUAAUUGCAAGAGUACAAGUGACACGCCCCAACCGAGGCCAAGGCAUGCUGGCCGUUACGUGAGAGUGACGUAGUCAUGUGCAUAGUACGGAAGCGAUAAAGAUAGCAAACAUACGAAUAAUUAAAAACCAUAUUAAUAUAGUGCACUACUAGCAGGGAGUGAUAGGAGUUAGUUACAACCGUAAACUCUCCUAAUCAGAGCAUAAUAAGUCUAGGUGCAGUCCAGUAGGACAAGUACUAGUUACACAGUACAAGGAAUGUCCUACUAUAAUAUAGAAUAGUCAGAACAACCAACGUCCUUGAGCCACCAACAGCGACUUACUUAAAACCUGAAAGGGCGCAAAACAGAAAACGUGAGUGGGUAAAAACAAAUGUUUUACAAAAUCGUUUUCUUUAUCAACAUAUCUAACCCCUCGCUGUAAAACAUGUAUAAUUUUUCCCAGAAUCAGAAUAUAAGCAUAUGCAUAAUAUAUAAAUAUAUAUGAAAUCAUAACAAUUCAAUUCAUGCUUCACAUAAUCAUAUUCAAAUAUAUACCAUGUUAAUAUAUAACAGAGUAAGCAAUUCAGGUAAGAAUAAAUUCAUAGAAUAUGAUAUGUUAGCUGGAACCCAUGUGGUAGUCUGUACGGCUGAAUUCAUAGCUCAAACUCAAUCUAGCCGGAGUCACUACUAUGACCUAUACGGCAAUAUACUGCACAUAAGUUGGAACCACUGAAAAUGUUCUGUACGACAAAGUUGGGUGAAAUAUAAUUAUGCUCAAUGAUACGCCCUCAUGCUAGCUGUGCGAUAAAUAGUUAGUCACCUACGAGUCGGAACCACUUAUAGUGGUCUGUAUGACAAGACUGUGUACCUAAAUUGGAUCCAAUGUGAGCAUAUGGUGCGAGAGGUGACAUAAUAUACAGGCAUGUGCCAACUCUCUCUGGCUAAAUCGCAAUCACCCGGGGUGCAGGUUUAUGAGCUCAUUGUUUUCAAUCAUAACUCAUAUAGAAAAUCAACAUGUUCAUCUCAUUUAUUGAAUAGCUACAUCUAACAUCUCGUUAGACUGCCUACGUACCCUAAACAGGGAUCAAGCCGUUCGUAGUUCACCUAAUCAAACAUAACUUACUUGAACUUACAUGUGCCUCCACAACACCACAUUUAUAUAUAUAUAUAUAUAUAUAAAUAUAUACAACCAUGAAAUGCAUAUUUAGAAUAUAAAGGCAUUUGACAUAUUAUUUCAAAGCAUAUUUUCAUUUAAAACACAUUUCUGGGAAAUAUAUCAAGUAUAUAAUUAUAUACUGAAAGCAAAAGCCCACUCACUGAUAUGUUGAAGGGUUGUAACCCCCGAGUCGCCCGUGGAUACGCUCGUCCUCGGGAUAAGCCUCACCUAUAUGCAAAUUAACUAUAAAACGUUAUUUUAAAGCACAUAUACAAAACUAGCUAAUAACUUCUCAUACAUUGCUCAAAAUGGGUAUAUGAAUAUACCACAGUGAUCUAUACAACCUCACGAACAUCGUGAUAUUUUUAGAUAAAUUUUUAGGUGGCUCACGCGCCCCACGCGCCCCCUACGCGCAUCAUCUUCAACCUCCAGACACCAGAACUGUUCACCGGCACCAGAUUCUGGGCAGACCUUCAAACCCACUAUUCUCCUUCAUUUCUCAACCAUUUUCUACGAAAUUUUCACCCAAAUGUCACAAAUUUCAAGAGGAAGAAGGUUAUACUUCUUUGGAGCCUUAAAUCCUUCGGAAACACCUCUGAAAAAUCUCGUCAAAACCGGCCACUUUCGAACCUCGUGAUCCCGACGUCCAAAAGCUUCAAACGAAGCACUCCGAGCUUCCUUGUGACCUCACUAAGCUCGCUAUAAGCUUGGAUUGUCCUAAAACACAACCAUUUAAAAGUUCAUGAAUAGUGCUCAACUUGGAGCUUGAAUUUUCAACGUGAUAUUGAACGAGUUCUUACCUGAAAUGGGUACCCUUGAACUCAUAUGAUCCUCACAAACACAAUGGUGCCAUUUUCUUCCUCGAUCAGUGAAGAUUUGGCUUGGUUUGACCUUGUCCGUACGGAGGAGAGGGAAAAGAGAGUGAGUCCAAGAGAGAGAGAGUGCACGGGAAUGAGAGAGAGAAUUGAGGUGAUGUGGAUAUGUGUGUGUGGUCCAACCUACACACCAAUCACAACUAACUAAGGUUAAGUUCUCAUUGGCCCCAAAAACUUAGGAAAAUAACCACAUUGGUCCAUUUCUAAAACUGUCACAUACGACUCACAAUGCCAUAAACGCUCAAGGGCAUUUUAGUCUUUUCACAUCCGCGAUAACAAAAUAAUGUACAUUUUCGGGAUGGGUUGUGACAACAAGAUUGUCGUAGAAUAGCAACUCAAGCAAUAUCAUUUUCCACAGGAAUUGAAUGAAUAAUUUGUAUUUAAACUAAUUUUUAGCUAAUUAUUUAGAACAAAGUUUUGAAACUGUUGAUUUUGGAAUUUAAAAUAAUAAAAACGAAUUUAAAUGAAAAUAAUUAAAUAUUUGACAAAGUAAAGAAAGCAAAAGAACAACGUUUUGAAAAUCAAAUUGUAAAAGCCUAGGAUUCUGCCGUCCCCUUAAUAAUCCUAUGCAAUUUUACCAAUUACUUAUGAAUUUAUACAUACAUGCUUUGAAGGUUAGGUUUUCCUAAUGCAUAUUUUCCUCGUGAUGUUCAAGCGAAAACGUAUAUCUAACAUGCAACCCGUCUAUGAUGUUCAUAUCAAAUAUAAACAUGCAAGACUCAUUAAGUUUUGUGAAAACCCUUUGAAAAAUCAUGCAACCCUUAAAAACGUGAUGUUUGCCUUAAGUGAACUUACAAUUACUAAUCACAAGAAGCCCUCCUCAAUUUCAAGGUGAUGUUCCAAUAGAAAUUGCAUCAAAUUAUUUGUCUAAAAACCCGGUGAUUAAUAAUUUCAAGCAAACAUGCAUUCAUUCAUAAGCUAAUUAAUAAAAUCACAUAUUCAUGCUAAGGCUUGUGGCUUCGCCUUUAGCAAAAGAAACUACCUACUAACAAUCAUAAAACAAAAUAUUAUUAAGAAUAAGGAUAGAAAACACCUAAAAAAUAAACUUGAAAAACUCUCUAAAGUAUGCGUGCGUUUCCUCCUCUCCUUCCCUUCUAACCCUAACGGCUAAAAAGUCUUAUUUAUACUACUACAAAUAAAACCCUAAAAAGUCUUAGAAUAAAACUAGGAAACAUAAUAAAAUAAUAAAACUGAAAUAAAAGGUUUCUAUGUAAACUUAAAUUCAGACUUAUUAGAAAAUCAGACUUUUGACCGACCAAAUCAACUUCGAUUUGGUCCCAAAAUGUCUCUUUUGAAAGCUAGAGACGUCCCCCACAAAUCCUUGGAAGGAAUCUUCCUCAAAAUAUGUCAUAUGUACUAAUUAAGUUUACAUAAUCUAAUUUUUCAACCAAUUCUUUUUCAAUAGCCUAUGAUAUUAUUUUUUUAAAAUUUUUAUUGAAUUUUAAUUGUAAAAUUUUUAUUUAUAUAUUUUUAAAAAAUCUGGGGCCCCUCCAAAGUGGAAGCCUUAGGCGGGCACCUACUUCGGCUACCCUCAAGGCCGACCUUGAGAUUCCUACAAAGAGGAUCCGGAUUCAAUAAAAGAAGGGGGAGUUGUUUUAACAAACCCAUAAAUUAUCUUAUUAUUGUGAGUUACGCGGGCCUUGAAACACGUGGUAGGUGGGUUGGCCUAGUUUACAAGAUUGCUUGUACUUUGGUAUUGUAGAUUGGAAAUGGAUUAUCUCCGGAUCCCUUCUACCAAGUCUACUAAGUCCACCUAUCUGGACUAUUGAAAUUUGAUUCAACAAUUAAAGUUAUUAUAAUUUUUGAAGGGGCUCUCUUAUUUGUAGCCGUUGGAUCAAAUUUCAAGGGUCCGGAUGGAUGAACUUGGUGGAAGAGAUCUGAAGAGGAUCCCUUUCCUUGUAGAUUAAGCUUUAAACACAGAUGAGUCAUGCAUGCUUGUUUUGGGUUUGUGCAAGUACAACUUGAAAGAUGCAGUCCUUGAAGGAGGUAUCCCAUUCAACAAGGCCUACGGAAUGACUGCUUUUGAGUACCAUGGCACUGACCCCAGAUUCAACAAGGGAAUGGCUAACCACUCUACCAUUACCAUGAAGAACCUUCUUGAGAACUACAAUGGCUUUGAGGGCCUCACAUCCAUCGUUGAUGUUGGUGGUGGCACCGGCAUUGUCCUUAACAUGAUCGUCUUUAAAUACCCUUCGAUUAAGGGCAUUAACUUCGACCUGCCUUAUGUCAUCGAAGAUGCUCCCCAAUAUCCUGGUAUGUUCUUCAUUUCUAAUAAUGUUCGUAGUUCAAUUACUUAAAAGCAUUCACCUUUACAUUCGAUCUCUCAAGUUCAAUUUCUCUUCCCCUAACAUUAUUGCAUAUAAAAAUAAUAUUGGUACUAUUUAUCAUUUUUCCUAAUGAAUAUCAGGUCAAUGGAUGUUGAAUAUAGGUGUGGAGCAUGUUGGAGGAGACAUGUUUGUGAGUGUUCCAAAGGGAGAUGCAAUUUUUAUGAAGGUGAGUUAUUAUUUAUCAAAAAAGAACCGAUGAUUAUUUUGUAGUGCUAAUAUUCAUUUCUCAUAGGAGCUUAGUUGCUCAACAUAUUUGGAACUAAUAUCAAAUCCUGUAUGAAAUCUUACAGUGGAUAUGCCACGACUGGAGUGACGAGCAUUGCUUGAAAUUUUUGAAGAACUGCUAUUCUGCGCUCCCAGACAAUGGGAAGGUAAUUGUUGCUGAGUGCAUUCUUCCGGUAGCUCCGGACAGUAGCCUUGCCACCAAGGGAGUUGUCCAUAUCGACGCGAUCAUGUUAGCUCACAACCCCGGCGGAAAAGAGAGGACGGAGAAGGAGUUCGAGGCCUUGGCUAAGGGAUCUGGAUUCCAAGGCUUUCGAGUCGUGUGCUCUGCUUUCAACACCUAUGCCAUUGAAUUUCUUAAGAAGAAUUGAGUAUAAUUUACCUUUGGUAUGCUGCCAUCUGCAUUUAUAUUGCUUUGGUUUUUUAUAUGGUGAUCGUGUAUCCAUACGUGGAUGUUACACGAUAAGUAGGUUUUCAUAUGUUAGAAAAA